AAGAAACCAACUGCAGGUCUGUUAGGCAUUUCAACAAACAGAGUUCAAACAACGCAGCAGAAGAAGAUAGCGGACAUACCCAAAUUGAAUCCACUGCCAAACCAACAAAUCUUUAGAUUUCAGGCAUAAUGUUCAACACAGAUUCAAAAAGGAAACGAGAGCUCAAACAAAAACCAAAAAUAGAGAGAGGUAAAGAAAAAUGUUUGGUUAAUCUGUCAGACCGCCUUGCGACCAUCCCAGCUAGGGCGAAGCCUUGCGAGAACGAUCAUCUACCGCCGCAGAUCCAAUGGAUCGUUGGACUGUUAAUCACGCUCUAGCCGCAGGGCAGUGGUUCAUCCACCAGAUUAUGGUUCUUGUCUCCUUAGAACUCAAGGACACAGUUGUACAACCUAUAGAACAGAUCCUGUUCAAGUAAGGUCGUGCUCUAAUGCCUUCAUAUUUAGGUUUAAAUAUUA